UACGUAGGUGGCGAGCGUUGUCCGGAUUUACUGGGCGUAAAGGGCGUGCAGGCGGUUUGCUAAGUCUUGGGUGAAAGCUCCCGGCUUAACUGGGAGAGGUCCUUGGAUACUGGCAGACUUGAGGAGGGUAGAGGAGAGUGGAAUUCCCGGUGUAGUGGUGAUAUGCGUAGAUAUCGGGAGGAACACCAGUGGCGAAGGCGGCUCUCUGGGCCCUACCUGACGCUGAGACGCGAAAGCGUGGGGAGCGAACCGG
rnacentral:rRNA from 1 species